rnacentral:lncRNA from 1 species
CCAUUCAGGCGCCUGCCUUGCCUGCCGCUGGGAUGCAUACAAUCACCCACACACACUGCACACUGUGGCUCAGAAUCAUCCACUGGGCACCUUGCCCGCUUUUGGCUCCUCCAGGGCCAGGCACAUGGAGAGGGUAGCCCCCACCUCAUCUGGCUUCCAGCAAGACUAGACUCUGUCUCUGCACCCUUCGGGGUCCACCCACAGCCAGGGAGGACGACUUGCCUUCAUCUCUAUAUCAGGGCUGGGAGCUGACCUGGCUUUCUUUGUCCCUAAGUUUAUACUCCAUCAGGGACAUAGUGGAGUACUCUCUGACCUCACUGUGGAGCAUCUGGAAGGUGACCUAAAGGAAAACUUGCUUGAAGGAAGGGCCUGGGUUUACUGCCCCUUCUCAGGGGACUGCCCACCACACAGACUCAAGACUUCCUGCUCUGAAAACUAAGUCAGGCCGUGAAGGCCACCUUAAUCCUAAGGGGCAUAGGUUCAACCAUCUAGGUUCACCCCAAAG